CUACUUCUAGAAAGUCGUCCCCACCCCCACCCCCCACCCCCGUGUUCCAGUUCAGAGGACAAAGGUCUAUCGAUGUCCAUGCCUUCCCCCAGUGAGGACACCCGGGGAAGACCUGCCUGCCUCAGUUGUGUACAGGACUAAGCCAAUGGCACAGAGUUAUCCAUGAAAUCAGGUAGAAGGUACAGGUCUUUUCGGAUGCAAAGCCCACAACUCCACACUUCUCAACUCCACCCUCUGCUGCCUCCUAGAUCCUGCAUGAGAAGCUGCAGAUACCAGGGUCGUAAUAUAAGCUGUGCUAUAAGAGACCGAGGUCUGAUCUCUUGAGGACCCUAUGAGGAAAGAUUUAACAUGAAGGACACCAGUUGAGUGGAGAAAACCACUGUUGAGGAGGAGGAUGUGACAAUGUUAGGAAGAUGGGGGUAAUAAUCAAGAAGGGAAGAGCAUGUGGCAGAGAAAACAAAAAUAAUCGUUAAUGCUUGGUGAGUGCUUCCCAUGUGCCGGGUACUGUUCUGAGCGCUUCCCUUAUGUUAAUUUCUUUAGUACUAUUAUGCUCCCUCUAUGGAUGAGGAAACUGAGGCCCAAGGUCACAGUUUCUGGUACGUGGUAGAACAGCGGGGAGUUGCCUGCAGAGCCUAACACUUAACGCCUUAGGAAGCCACACAGAGAAAGAAGAGGGUGAGAGAGAGAUGCCACUCUUCUGACAGAGGAUGAACAGGCAAGGCUGGACUAGGCUGUCAUUUCUAAAGCCAAGGCCAGAUCCUGUUUGCCUGGAGGAAAUCCAACCACAAUCUCUGUUGGGGUUCCUUCUUGGAGUUACGCACAAGUUCUGGGAUCUUAUGAACUCCACAAUAUGAGGAAAGUUCCUUCUGUUCACUAAUCUGUACUUAAAAACCCUGAGGCGCUGCGUCAGUUAAGAAUGUAUAGGCUCUCCAUAAUGGCUCAGCAGUCAAGAAUCUGCAUGCGAUGCAGGAGACCCUGGUUCGAUCCCUGGGUCAGGAAGAUCCCCUGGAGGAGGUCAUGGCAACCCACUCCAGUAUUCUUGCCUAGAGAAUCCCAUGGACAGAGGGGCCUGGCGGGCUGCCGUCCGUGGGGUCGCACAGAGUCGGACAUGACUGAAGCGGUUAAAGAGCAGCAGCAGCCGCUCUCCACAGGAGAAACCCCGAAUAAUUUCAGCCAAGACCAGGAGACCUUGGCUUAUGGUCCAGCCUCCCCAAGCAUACUCAGCAGCCUCCUCCUGAGUUUUUCCAGGGUGUUGACAGGGAGCUGGACACAUUCCCAGAAGAAUGUGGGCACUUAUGGCCCUUUGCCUCGUUCCGGUCAGGAGAAACCACCUGCUAAGCCACACCGCUUCUCAAACGCACUUCCCUUCCUCACUCCGUCACCUUCAUGCCCUCCCGGAGUCCUGCUAAAAUAUUCUCAAGGGGGAGGCCUUCAGGAAAACAAAGAGUAACAAGUGUCUUCCUGGGAGUUUCUUCUCUUGGCCAGCUGACACAAGCCUGUUUUUUGUGUCUGUGAUGAUUGAGGGGACGGGGACAGCAAUGCAGGAGAGAGGAGCGCACACGCUGGUCUCUGUGUGACUGUCCCGCUGUUGCAGGGGAAAGAACAGUGCGGUGCUAAAUAGGAGACCUGGACCCCAGCCUCUGCUCUGGGCCCAAAUGUCUUCAUCAGUAAAACUGUUAAGAAGGAACACUAUAGGGGUGGGGAUGGGAGGAGUCCAUCUGCUUCAAAACUAGAUACAGAGGCCUCUGCAAAUUGCCUAGCAAAAUGCCCCAGUCAGACCCAUCCCUCCCUGGAUGGUAAGGUUGGGAGACACGGGAAAGGCAGGAAGUAUGUGUUGUAGGCGUCCAGGGGCAGAUCUGGGUGUUCCCAGCCUGGCUCCAUGAUCAUACAAGGGGAGGUGUGGGGUUACAAGUGGUGGUGGAGUGGGGGGGAGGGGGUGGUGGUUAAGAAGUAGCAAAGGAUCCCUAAAGUCACAUUUUAGUAUCCAGGACAGAAGUUUUUAACUAGGGUCCCUGAACCACAGCCUGUACACUGGAAUUCAGAGGUUGAUGAACUGAGAUUGGAAAAUAUUACAACUUAACCUCCACUCACCUCCAUUUUCUCAGUUAUGAAUAAAUGCAAAAAACUGUGGUUGCAUUAGCAGGGCCAGUAGAAAGCAGUGCUUUUUCUUUCCUUUUACCUUUGCAGGUAUCUUGAAACAUUAAACUCAUUUCUACUUCAAGUUGACAGUGGUUUAUUGGGCUCAUCCCCUCAAUUCUUGUUAUUUAAUGUAUUAAAGAAACCCAUAUAUUACACCACCACACACUUCAAUAUUUUCACAACUGUAUUUCAACAUAACUAGUUUCCUUUGUGAUCCCUUUAUGCAAAGGAAAAUAUUUUGAGAAGGAAUCAUGGCACAAAAAAGGUCAAGGGCCCCCAGACCAGGAGCGGUCCCUAUUGACGCGUGGCCCAGAGUGAGGACGGCUGCCCGCUGAGCACAGGCUGCCACAGGAGGAACCAGGUCAGAAUCCCACCAGGCACUGCUCCCGCUCCAGGAAACCUUGGGGUAGGACGCAGGGGUGAGGCAUGACCGCGACGAGUCACGGAGAUCUUUAGCUCGAUGGAGUGGCCUUGGGCCUCUGCUGCCCGUUGUGAAAAAGGAGACGAUCACCAGCCUCUUAGCUUCAAUCACAUGAGGAUGGAGCCCCAAGCUCACUGUGGAAUAAAGGGAAGGGAGCACUCAACUUUUGUACUCAGGGAGUUUUUUCAGCCCUCUCCCCCUCCCCUUUUCUUUUUUGAAGAACUCAGGAUCUUAGUUCUCUGGCGAGGGAUUGAACCCACACACCCUGCAGUGAAAGCAUGGAGGUUUAGCCAGUGGACCACCAGGGGAGUCCCCAGCCCAAUUUAAGGAAACAAAAGCCAAGUGUAGGGAGAAGGGAGAAGAAGAGAUUCUUCCGCAGCUACAGUUGUAUCUUCUCGGCUCAGGGAUGAGAGGAAAGUGUCAACCAACGAACCAAUAUUGGUGCACUAUUAUUAAAGAAAGUCCACAGCUUACUUGAGGGUUCACUCUUUGUGUUGUACAGUUCCACUGGUUUUGAAAAAUGCAUAAUGUCAUGUAUCCACCAUGACAUCAUUCAUAAUAGUUUUACUGCCCUAAAAAUGCCCCAUCUGAGCCUCAGUUUUAACAUCUCUAAAAUGAGAAAGUGAAACUCCUCUAAAUCCCCUCAUCCUCUCAUUGUAGGUUUCUAAUUUAGGCCUCUUGACAAAGUGGUGCUGAAAUCAACAAAAUGUUGCUCUAAGUGUGGUCUGAUAUCCAUCAGAAUCACUGGGCUUGGGUUGAGGUGAGGAGGUCCUCAUUCAAACCUUCUGGGUUCUCAACCUCAGACCCACUAAACCCAGGGUCAGGGCCCAGGAAUCUGCAUUUUAACUGGACCCUGGUGCACAGGGAAGUUUGAGACCUCAACAGAGUAU